AGUGAACGCUGGCGGUAGGCCUAACACAUGCAAGUCGAACGGCAGCACAGUAAGAGCUUGCUCUUACGGGUGGCGAGUGGCGGACGGGUGAGGAAUACAUCGGAAUCUACUUUUUCGUGGGGGAUAACGUAGGGAAACUUACGCUAAUACCGCAUACGACCUACGGUUGAAAGCAGUGGAUCUUCGGACCUUGCGCGGUUGGAUGAGCCGAUGUCGGAUUAGCUAGUUGGCGGGGUAAAGACCCACCAAGGCGACGAUCCGUAGCUGGUCUGAGAGGAUGAUCAGCCACACUGGAACUGAGACACGGUCCAGACUCCUACGGGAGGGAGCAGUGGGGAAUAUUGGACAAUGGGCGCAAGCCUGAUCCAGCCAUACCGCGUGGGUGAAGAAGGCCUUCGGGUUGUAAAGCCCUUUUGUUGGGAAAGAAAAGCAGCAGGUUAAUACCCCGCUGUUCCGACGGUACCCAAAGAAUAAGCACCGGCUAACUUCGUG
rnacentral:rRNA from 1 species